UACGAAGGGUGCAAACGUUUGCUCGGAAUUAUUGGGCGUAAAGCGCACGUAGGCGGCUUUGCCAAGUCGGGAUGUGAAAUCCCUCGGCUUAACCAAGGAAGUGCAUCCGAAACUGCAGAGCUUGAGUACUUAAGAGGAUCGCGGAAUUCCCGGUGUAGAGGUGAAAUUCGUAGAUAUCGGGGAGGAACACCAGUGGCGAAGGCGGCGAUCUGGGAAGGAUACU
rnacentral:rRNA from 1 species